GGGCAUUCUUGGUCUCAAGCACACUACACAGUUCUACAGAACUCUACCUUGGUGACCCCGUAUGUCGAUGAACACAAGAACAGUCUGUGCUCCAAACACCCGGAGCAGUGUGACAACUGGAUUACAUGUGAACACAUCAGGACUUUCAGCAGUUGGUUGGAAACACGUCUCAGAGGUGACGCCACUGUUUGUGAUGAGUUGUACUCGUUGUCCAGGGGACCAUCUUCGACUGUAUUGACUUACAAAGGAUACGAGAUAAAUGGGGACACAUUUUACACGAUCGCCCAAGAUCAAAAGAGCACCAACCAAAACAGCGGUGUCCGCUUUGAUGCAGCAACCGAGAGGGGAAAGGACACAUAUUAUGGUUACAUAAUUGACAUAUGGGAACUUAACUACGGACAUGAUUUUAAGGUCCCUUUGUUUAAGUGCAAAUGA
rnacentral:rRNA from 1 species